rnacentral:rRNA from 1 species
AGUCGAACGGAGUACUUCGGUACUUAGUGGCGGACGGGUGAGUAACGCGUGAGGAUCUGCCCUCAGGAGGGGGACAACGACUGGAAACGGUCGCUAAUACCCCAUAUGCCGAGAGGUGAAAUGUUUUUUCGCCUGAGGAUGAGCUCGCGUCAGAUUAGCUAGUUGGUGGGGUAACGGCCUACCAAGGCGACGAUCUGUAGCUGGUCUGAGAGGAUGAUCAGCCACACUGGGACUGAGACACGGCCCAGACUCCUACGGGAGGCAGCAGUGGGGAAUUUUCCGCAAUGGGCGAAAGCCUGACGGAGCAAGACCGCGUGAGGGAUGACGGCCUAAUGGUUGUAAACCUCUUUUCUCUGGGAAGAUAAUGACGGUACCAGAGGAAUAAGCCUCGGCUAACUCCGUGCCAGCAGCCGCGGUAAUACGGAGGAGGCAAGCGUUAUCCGGAAUUAUUGGGCGUAAAGCGUCCGUAGGUGGUUAAUCAAGUCAGCUGUUAAAGAGCGGAGCUCAACUCCGUUAGAGCGGUUGAAACUGAUUGACUAGAGUUUGGUAGGGGUCGAGGGAAUUCCCAGUGUAGCGGUGAAAUGCGUAGAUAUUGGGAAGAACACCGGUGGCGAAAGCGCUCGACUGGGCCUGAACUGACACUGAGGGACGAAAGCUAGGGGAGCGAAAGGGAUUAGAUACCCCUGUAGUCCUAGCCGUAAACGAUGGAUACUAGGUGUUGCUCGUCAUCGACCCGAGCAGUGCCGUAGCUAACGCGUUAAGUAUCCCGCCUGGGGAGUACGCUCGCAAGAGUGAAACUCAAAUGAAUUGACGG